AAUUAACUGACAGAUUCAGAGGAGCGAGCGAGGGAAAGUGUGGAGGAGGCGUACUGUUUGGUAUCAUUAGGAACUCAUUAUGGCUCCACACUGGACAACCACGCUGAGAAAGGAGGAGAGAAGAGGACAGGAGAGAAGAGCGGCAGAAUGUAGUGGACUGUUAACAUUUAAUGACUGCUUAUGGAUGAUCGGCACAAACAAAAAACAAACAAAUAGCCAUCCUGCAUUUGUGCAUUCAGUGUGUCCAGCCUCACGGCUGACUAAACGAAAGACUUCUGUUUCUACUGAGUACAGAUAAAUAGAGGCAGGCAUUGUGUUACUGGAUCGCACCAAAGCUGGCCCCACUGUCACAAAGCGCUCUCUGUGGUUUCACAGGAACAGUUGUUGGCUUGGGGAUGAGCCAGUGGGCCCCCCCUUCAGCCAGAAGGUCUCGUACCAGAAUGCAGAGUCUUGGACUCAAUGUUCUGGGAACACAACAGCCAAACCUGCCAAACCUUUUCAUACCAAACCACAGCGCUCUUUGGGCAUCAGAAUAAAGCAGGGACUGCUCAGUGGGAGGACGAAGAUUUCAAGUUGGCAUCACAAAUGAGUCUCUCCACCGCUCUCAGGUCCUCCAUCAUUCCAAGACAAGUAUCAUACCAAGACCUGCCCUCAGAAGCAGACACAAAACAAAACACAGCCGAACAUCUGAGCAACUACUUUUGCAGCUGCUCCUCUGAGCUUCUUCUGGGAGCGAGGCCAGCAGCCCUGCAGGUGACCGUUUCAGCUCACUCAGAAAAAAAAAGGCUGGGUUGGUUGGAGUCACCAGAAGACCAAAGUACCAAGACACACCCAGAGCAGUUCAGUACCCAUGGGAGGAUGCGGUCUUUCGGCAGCUGUAGUUCAAACUGCCACCUCACUACAAGCCCAGCAAGUCAAUGGAAUCAAAAACAAGGAUUGUCUUAACAUCAGCUUGACUGCAGAAUCCAAACAACACAACUCAGACCAGUUCAGCCUCAGUGGAGAUAUAAAGCAGACGAUCUUUGGAGGAUUC